CCUACGGGUGGCAGCAGUGGGGAAUAUUGCACAAUGGGGGAAACCCUGAUGCAGCGACGCCGCGUGAGUGACGAAGUAUUUCGGUAUGUAAAGCUCUAUCAGCAGGGAAGAAAAUGACGGUACCUGAUCAAGAAGCCCCGGCUAACUACGUGCCAGCAGCCGCGGUAAUACGUAGGGGGCAAGCGUUAUCCGGAUUUACUGGGUGUAAAGGGAGCGUAGACGGGAGCACAAGUCUGGAGUGAAAUGCCGGGGCGUAACCCCGGAACUGCCUUGGAAACUGUGCAGCUAGAGUGCAGGAGAGGUACGUGGAAUGCGUGGUGUAGCGGUGAAAUGCGUAGAUAUUAGGCAGAACCCCGAUGGCGAAGGCAGCGUACUGGACGGUCACUGACGUUGAGGCUCGAAAGCGCGGGUAGCGAACAGGAUUAGAUACCCGAGUAGUC
rnacentral:rRNA from 1 species